rnacentral:rRNA from 1 species
CCGCACAAGCGGUGGAGCAUGUGGAUUAAUUCGUCACUAACCGAAGAACCUUACCCAGGCUUGACAUCGCGUGUAACUCUGUGAAAGCAGAGCCCUUCCGCAAGGAAGCACAAAGACAGGUGUUGCAUGGCUGUCGUCAGCUCGUGUCGUGAGAUGUUGGGUUCAGUCCCGUAACGAGCGCAACCCCUGUGAUCAGUUGCCAGCGCGUCAUGGCGGGGACUCUGAUCAGACCGCCGGCGUCAAGCCGGAGGAAGGCGGGGAUGAC